GCUCCCUUCUCUCAUCACACUGAAGCCCCUCAAUGUCUUUCUUGCAGUGAGGGGCCCAGAACAGGCUCCCAGAUUCAGGGUGCCUCAGCAGGGCCAACACAGUGAGCUGUUGAAUAGCUGCUUAUAAAAGCAUUUGGCUUUCAUGAUAAAUCCUAUGUAUAUUGCUUCUUUUAAAUGCAUUUAAACAACUUUGACUAAGAAUCAGUUUAACACUGGGAAUUUGCAUGUUCUGUGUUGGCAGUUUUCUCACAGAACAGGUCAUGGAAGUAGUGUACUUGGGCUUUUUUGAGCGGGGGCGUUGGGGAAGAAUAGCCAGUUUGCUGCUUCAGAUCACCUCUGUAUUAAUUGUGGAGGAAGUUAUCUACAUUUGCUACAGAGCUAUUGAGCUGUUAAUGUUAAAUAUAAGAAUUAAAGUGGAGAAAGGGAAGAGAAUGCUGGAAGAACAUAUAAGAUGGGCUGAGUGAAAAAGAUAAUCCCUAGAAAAACAGAUCUAAACAGUCUGAGAAUCAUAGAAUGGUUUGUGUUGGAAGGGACCUUAAAGCUUAUCUCAUUCCAUGCCCAUGCCAUAGGCAGGGACAUCUUCCACUAGACCGGAUUGCUCCAAGCCCUUUCCAGCCUGUCCUUGGGCACUUCCAGGGAUGGGGCAGCCACAGCUGCUCUGGACAACCUGUGCCAGGGCCUCAGCACCCUCACAGGGAAGAGUUUCCUCCUAAUAUCUAAUCUAAGCCUACUCUCGGUUUGAAGCCGUUACCCCUUGUCCUGUCACACCAUGUUCUUGUAAAUAGUCUCUUUCCAUGCAAGUCCAAGGUGACAGUGUCUUAAAAAAAGUUGAAGGAAGUCUUGCAGGUCAAGGCACUGUGGCAGGGGAGAAGUAGGUUUUUACUUCAGCAGUGAUUUUAAAAGAGAAAAAAAGCAAAUUCUGAAAUUGUUGAUACACCGUUUACAAAACCACAUUUUCGCAGACAUGGGAUGUAGAGUGGCUGAUAUUUCUUUUCCUUGCCCCCUUUAUUCUGUACCAUCCAUUUAUUUUCUUAUGAGCAUCACAGGCUGUGCCUACUUUUGAUUAGAAGUGAGGCUUAUUUGCAUACAAAAGGGGGGGAAAAGGCAGUGUUACAUGUGCAAUAAAUGGGAAAACAUUGAUAAGGAAAUAAUGGAUGAAAAUGCCCAGUUAUUUUCUGAGGGUAAAAAGCAUCCUUAGUUACUCCUUUGAGGAGCCUCACCCUUAACAUUAAGUCUUCUAAACUGGGCCAAUAGGCUUGAGCACAUCAUUUCUGCCCUUCACCAAGGGUGAGGUGCAUAACACUGCAACAAAUCACCAAGGGAUCUUACUAAUAGUGUCACUAAAAUUACAGCACAUCUCUUGUCACUGUAAAUAUUUGUGUCUCCUCUCUCUUGUUGGCUUCACUCUCUCUUCAUUGUCCUGUAAACUCUUCCUUAGUGGAAUUAUUUAUUACUACAUUUAGACAGACCUUGGCACCUCCUAUCAACUGCUCUCUAGGCCAACAUUAAAUUUUGUUUUAGAAGCAGGUUUCUUAGCCACAUAUUUUAUAAAGUGGUGCAAUUCCAGUCUUUGCCCCAAGCCCAUAUUUGAUGAUACCAAUAUGUGUCUGGAAGAGUUUCCUCCUCAGUUCUGUGUAUUUCUCAUUGCCAGGGCUUUUUUCUAAAUUGCAGCCAUCUGUUGUGAGUCUGCACUCCAUGGGUUAAAGUUUAUUUUUAUAUUAAGACAAGCUUUCAUUAUGUUUUCCCUCUUUCCCCCUUUCUCCCCCCACAGUCUGGAACUUUAGGCUUUCUAGUUAAGCUUUUAUGGUGGCCACAAACAGGUGCGUGCUUUACAGAGGGUCUCAUUCUGCAGCUCCCACUGGCAUCCCUGGCCUCCUGAACUCCCUUUUGCUACCUCCUUCCCCCUCAAUAAUUUUUUAUGAAUGACAGCUUUUCAGCACCCUGGGAACAGCUUGUUGGGAAGAACACUCUUUGUGGGGUGCAGCCAAAUCCUACACAUUUCUCCGAGGGUUUUCUGUGAAAGGGCUGGUUCUGCAUUGCAGGUAUGACGUACGUGUGGACUCCCCCUCCCUGCUGGCUCCCCCACCUCCUGCCUCUGAUUCACUGGGAUAAAUCUGCUUUUUAAUAAUGCUGGUAGACUCUCGCCACAGGUGCUUCUCAAUUAAAAUCCACUUUGUUUAAAAACUGAAGGCUUGUUUAACUGAUCCCCUGGGGAGAGUUGUCAGAUCCCAGGGUAGGUGACACAAAUAGAUUGGUGACCCUCUGGAGCUGCAUUGAAAAUACCAUAUCCUGGGGUACCAGAGGGCAGCGUCACUCUGAAAACAAAUCCGCACGUUUGAGAAACCCUGGGUGGAAUCCCUGGGACUUGUCAUUUCAGUGUGAGGCCUUUUUAAUCCAUCUUUUAACGUUUGGUUUUGUUCCUGCUACCCUUCUCACACCCCCUCCCCCCCAAGUACUUUCACCUUCUUUCUAAUACUGAUUUAGCAAUUUAGAAAAUACAAAGGUAAAAGGAACAUUUGUUUUUUUCCAAGAACAGUCUCUCUUUUGUAUUCUAAAGAUAUUUUCAAGAAAUUAAUUGGAAUGGCAAAAGGGUGUGGAAAAAAUAUUUGAAAAAAAAAUAGAAAAAGCAAAUUCAAAGUGCCUUUUUUUUUUUCUUUUUAAAGAGAAAGGAAAAUGUACUUUGAGUGAUCUGAACUUUUCCCUGCCUUCUUAGACAUGUAUUUUUAGCAUUUUGAAUACAUGUAAUGUUCUCAGAUAUUGCUUACUAGAGCACUUUGAAAUAACUAUAGAGGGUGGAUGGGAUGACUCAGGGGACUGGUAAUUGAAUGCGGAGCCUUUUCACCUCCAAGUCCCCAGUUUGAAUCGAACCCAAGCUGAGAGCGACCUCGUGGUUACCCUCAGAUGGGUGUUUAGUGGCCUGUCUGAAGUGAGUUGGUGGUCUCAGUCCAGCUCUUGGCAAACAGCUACCACAUCACAGCAGCCACAGCCGCAGUUGGUGCCAAUUACCAGCCAGGCUGGCAGUGCUGGCAGCCAGGGGAAGGAUGGAAUUAGUGUGUGCUGCUCCUGUGUCAGAGGUGGUCCCUGCUGCUCUUGGAGCCCUGCAGCAGCAGCUGGAUUUGGUGCUGUUGGCCUUGUGGGAUGUGUGUUCCUGCACUCUGGGGUGAUGUUAACUCCCAAGUGCUGAGCUGGGUCCCUGUGUGGGUUUGGUUUUGCUUUGCCUCUGCAGGUUAUCAGUCCCUCUGUUCAAGGGCAUCUCCAUGCAUGGGAAUUUCCCACACACCUUUGUCAGUCGGAUUUGUCUCUUGACAUCUCUGCUAAGCAUGCCAAAAAAAGAGAUUCUUCACAUUUUUGUGUCCAGAGAAGGGAAUGGAACUGGGGAAAGGGCCUGGAGUACCAGGAGCAGCUGAGAGAGCCGAGGGAUCUCAGCCUGGAUAAAGGGAGGCUCAGGGGGGACCUUCUGGGUUUCCACAACUCUGACAGGAGAGGGGUAGUCAGGCUCUGCUCCCAGGGAACAAGGGACAGGAUGAGAGGAAAUGAACCCAAGCUGUGCCAAGGGGCGUUCAGGUUGGACAUCAGGAGGACUUUCUUCACCAAGGAUGGCCCAGAGAGGUGGUGAAGUUCCCGUCCCUAGAGGUGUCCAAGGAGUGACUGGAUAUGGCACUGAGUGCUCUGGUCUGGGUGAUGAGGUGGGGAUCAGUCACAGGCUGGACUCGAUGGCCUUGGAGGUAUUUCCCAACCUGAAUGGCUUUGUGAGUCUGAGUUUUCAGUCCAUUUGUUUGAUAGCAGUAGUCACACUUCUGGCAACUCUCAGCUCCCGAAAUUUCCAUACUACCCCGUUAUUUUGCAAUCCUCUUUCUGAAGUGGUUUUACAUUUUAUCUCUGAAGAAGUUUUUUUUUCUCCUGAAGCUAAACUAAAAUGUAGUCAUUUUGAAAGUGUGAGGACAAAAUAGAUAAUUCUUACCCUUUAAAAUCCCUUACAGCUGAAAAAAAAAAUCUUGCAUAAAUUUCUUGUAUUUUGGGAGUUCCAGAGUAUAGCCCUCUCAGAUCUUCUGAAUGGAGCUUUAAUGGACUCCAAACCCCAUAGAUGAUCCCUCUGCUGGCAGUAAGAUUUUGGGCUGAUAAACAAAUCUUAUCUGUCUGCAAAAUCAUGACAAUUUUCAGAUGUUAAAGAAAAGUUGAAAUAAAUAUGGUUUACAACAUUUUAUGCUGUAAGGCAGUUCUUUCCAAAAAUGGGCGGUUAAUUUUUCAUACUCUACAUUUCAUUCAAGGGAGCGACAGUAAUACAAUUCUAAUCAAAAUGGAGUGGGUUUUUCCCCAAGUACUAAACUAAGUCCCUUAGAAACCCGUUUUUUAUUUUUUGCCCCUAAAUCUUAAUGUUAACUGUGGUUUCUGUAAAAAUAAACAUUUCCUCAAGGUAUUGGCAGCCCAAAUAGAGAUGCUGAAACUGAAUGUAACAAGAGUGACCUUAUGAGGAUUUUUUACCUCUAAAUUGCGACAUAUUUGUGAAUGGCACAAAUAGAAACAAUGUAGAUUUUUAAGCUUUUGAUUAAGCUUAAAAAUGUAAGCUGUCAUUGGUAAAAUGGUAAGGAGGAUUUUGUAUAAAAGGAGAUCUAAGUAUUGCCUGUUGAGGAGGACAGGGAUGCAACAUUUGCAAUCUAUAGUUUAGGGUAACAUCCUGCUGCACACAUCCAAGUAACUAGUUAGGUUGAUUCCCUCAUUUCUGGUCACUCACUGAUAGGUGAUUUGGCCAGGCUUCGCUGGGAGGGCAUGGAUUUGGGCUAUCUUUGCAGAAUAUGGUUUCUUUUCAUCCAACAGGAAGAUAGAAGGAAGCAGGUAGGAGACCAGCUUUCUGGCUGGGAGCAGCACUGCUGGAGAUGAAGGGAAGCCUGGCUCAGGGCUUUCUUUUGUCUCUUGGAGAAGCUCAGGAAAUUAACUUUUGUAAGGGUCUACAAGGAUAAUCCCAUGCUUGGAGUCUUGAGCAGUCCAGAAAAGAGGCAUAAAGGAUUGCUUUUUGCAAGUUGAGAGUAGUGGGUAAAGCCAAGAAGAUGUUGUAAGUGAUUUGCCUCAUCUGAGAAACAGAUGUGUCCCUCACCUGGGGCUGGUGGUGGCAGAGCAUUGCCUCUUCAGAGCUCAGGCAGGAAGGAGGACUGUGCAUAACACUGCCCUGAAAACUUGUCUUAGAGCAUGUGUUCUGAGUGGAAGCGCUGUAAGUCUGGAGGAGAUGAAGUCUUCUAAAUAAUGAUGGUUUUAUGGAGGAGGUGACGCUUUCCUCUCACAAAGAAAGGACAUGGAAAAAACUGAAAUGGAAACAGUUGGCAAGGUCACUUUGGCUUGUCUUGAGAACGUCAGGAAGGAGGCCUCCAAACAAACCAAAACCCUAGGAGUGGGGCUAUCACUGUUUCUUCCUGCUCAAAUAGAAUUCUUGUUCAAGGCAUUUCCAAAUAAGGGUGAGGAACUGAGCACUGCAACCGCAAGAUGACAGUGCAAGGCUGUUAAAACCAACACUCCUUUUUCUUUCUACUUAAAAUAAUCCACGUCCAGCCAUGAAUCAAAGUGCCUCUGUAACCUGCCUUGCUCCAGAAUAGACUGACAGAAACAUAUACAAAUCCUCCUGGAAAAAUAAAUUAUGAGAAAAGCUUUAGCUGGGAACUCCAGAGUAAGAAUGAUUAGCAAGUUGCACCAUUCACUUAACGUGAUUUUAAUCGUGGGCUAGUAGUUCAUCUCAAGGCUAAAAAUGCCACCAUAGAUCUCUUGGGUGAACACAAGGCAUAUAGAAAUUACAUGGCAAAAUUAGCAUUUGCAUAAUAUAGUAAUAGGAGAAGCAAAAAAAAAAAAAGAGAACAAGGGGAAGAAUUUCCUGGCUAGUAUGAAUUCACCUGAAAUCAGUGGAGCUUUACUAAUCCAUGCCUUUGAAACCCUCCCCUUCAGCAUUCCAGUGUUACAGCAGCAAUGAGCCAUGGGCUUGUUGUUGAGAUGCCUCACUGAAGUAAAAAUCAAACCACUGUGCUACUGAAUGAAAGAAGGAAAGAACAAUUUUAGCAUGUAAGAUUAGGGCAGUGCUGUCAGGGUGGGACCAGCCUGGAGUUUGCAAUACUUGAGCCCACUUACACUUUGUAUAAACUUCUAAAUACUUGGGAAACCUUUCCGUGAUGUUUUGAUUUCAAAAGCUAUCUGGCAGCCUAAGUAUCCAUACCUAACAAUUAAACCAAUAAAUUCAGAGGCCAGUCUUCAAAGUUCAGAGCUUCAAAUGCUCUCACUAGUGCAUUAUUCAUGGCUUGGUUUUUUCCUUUGAUAUCUCUCUAUGGUGUGAUCUGUAUAGCAGAAGAGAACCCACAUCUGUCUGUUUACACCACCCUGGAAAUUCUUGUGGGCAAACAAAAAAGUCAACCACAAAUAACUGCUGGGCUAGCAACAAACAUAGUAUCUGGAGUGCCUCCACCCACCUGCCAUCAGGCAGACUUCUGAAUCUCAUUUGAAAUGGGAAAAGUCAGAUCAGGAUGAGACGAAGGGCUGGGGGGAAAAACUAGAUUGAAAGACUAACCUGAAAUUAGCAGAACUGGGAAUUUUGCUCUUUUUUUAUUUUUUUUAUAUGGAGUAGGCCAUAUGUGGGCCCUGAGCUGAGCAUCAUGGCAUGGCACAGUGCAUGUCCUUCAGUCAGAUCCUUUGACUCAUUGUGGGAUUGAGGACUGAACCCAUUUGAGCUAAAAGGGGACAGGUUCUUCUGAGCUGUGUCUUGAAGAAAGGUGAACAGAAAACAUCCUGUAAACCAUUUCAAAGUUCAUGAAAGAUUCUCCAGUAGGAUGCUGGGAAAGGCUGUUAAUUCCUGUUUUGUUUGAGCCACUGCAGACUCUAAUCAUUCUCACUUUAGCUGCAGGGUCUCGUUACAUUGUUGUGGGUCUUAUUGGAGGGAUAUCAAUUUCCAUUGGCUUGAAAAGUUUCCCAAAACUUCCAGUGAUGAUGUCGUUACGAAGGCUUUGGCUCACCCAGAUAUUUUUAUGAACCCGAACUAAAGCAUAUGGGUAGCAUUCUCAAAAUCAAUGGAAGUAGUUACAUGCAUAAAAGUACGUAUCCAUGAAGUUGGAUCUCAUCCUGUGACCCUUUAAUUCUUGAGAAGUAUGGAAAAGACUGUGAUUUAUUAAUCUGAUCUUACACAAUGGUACUUGAUUUGCAAUGUUCAGAGAGUUUUAAUUGUUAUUUGUGUCACACUAAUAUCCAAUCACUUGGAUGUUUCGCUUUAACUUGAUUUAUUACUUAAAAAAUAAAGCCAUGGUGGAGAUGAGGAUUUCAUUGUCUAUAAAUAGCUUUUCAGUCUGGUGUUAGAUCUAUUUCGGAGGCUUUAGUUCUUGGUGAGGUAAUUUCUCCCCAGUGCAGAUCAUCUCAUGUGCUGGAGUAUACCACACUGAUGUUGACUCGCCUGCUUAGAAGUUUGUUAACAGCUUUUAUUUCCUGAAUCUGGGGAACAGUUUUUCCUCUUCCAGUUUUGUUCAGUUUUCUGAGAAAGAGGUACCUUUUUGACUCAUCCCAGCUUCCUCCCUUGUUCUGUUUAUCCUUACUGUAGAAGAUGGCCACAAUUCCUCCAUUUCGUGCAAAUUAGAGGUAGUGCUAGGGUCCCUGGCAAGUUCCCAAUACAGGUCUCAGAUGACUUAAAUGCUUCCCAUGGGUACAUUGACACAUUAUUGAGCAAUUACAUUCUCUUGUGGCAGUCAUCUGUGGAAUAAGUAAACUGCCUCUGUGAGCCCCAUGGUGAUAUCAUGCACCAUAAAUGCAUGCUUGGCCUCCAUUGUGUCAACAAUCCCUCACGUUCUCAAAUGCAGAAAUGCGAGUAUAAUUCUCAAACUACACUGCCUAAUAAACAGGUUAGUUUUAUUACCUGUUUCUACCUUGAAGGGUAAGAUUAAAUUUAAUUUAUAAGGCUACCCUAAAAGGAGAAGGGGUGUGGGUAAGCUUAAAGUGAUUAUUUGUUUAUUCACUCUAAAUUUAUUAAUUUGGGGUUUGGGGGGGGAAAAGGGAGGCCAGCAGAAGAGAGUGGCUUACAUUUAAGUCUUUUUUUUUUCUUCUGGUUAGGGGAAGGUUGGUCAUGAAGAUCGUUUUCUCAUCAAUAACUUUGGCAAGACUAUGGCAUACGUUACUGAUAAUUCCCAGAUUUGCUUGCACAGGCAAAAAAUAUUUAUGCAACAAGAUGUCAAGUAACACUGUCUUGAAAGUUAGGAGAUCUUUGAUUACACAGUGUAGUGUAAAGUUAAUGGUGUAACGAGUGGUUUUUUUCCCCCUCCCUUCAAAAAACUUGUGUCUGAAUGUUUUGUAAAGUCCUUCACCAAGGGCUACUGUGGAUGACACUGUCCUCAGACAAAUUUUAUGGCCACCAGGUGCAUUGAGACCUCUGAGAGGGGGAAGUCCAGCACUCCUGCCUGAAUCCUCCUGAACGUGGAUGUGACAGCACAGGGUGUCCUACACAUGAGGCCAGUCGGGUUGUUUCCUCAGCUUUUGUUGUGGCUGGGGACAGAACACAGAUCCCAGUGUGCUUUUCAGGGUUGUGCAGUAUUAUUCAGUCUGGUUGAAUGACUACCCUCUGCUUUGUCAUCAGAGAAUAUUUAUGACCAUCGAAGGAAGGCUGAGUUCCUGGAGACGGGAUAACGCGUGGCUUUCUGCUGCCAGACACAGAGUUCCUUUCCGUGGUCACACCAAUGUUUUUUCAUACUCCCACGGACACCACAACUUUUUUGGAUAAGGAAGAAGAUGAUGGAACACAGAUGAGGGAAAGAAAUGGCCUCAGAGAACUUGGAUACGUGGGGGUAUUUUUACCCUUUGGGGUUUUUUCUUCCUGAAUUUCAAUGAGUGACUUAUUGGAAACUUCUUCGGGUUUGAAGUGUUUUUUUUUUCUUGCUCCGCACACACAAAACUGUUUUGGGUUGUUUUGUUUGUCUUUUUUAUAAUGCAGCUGAGAUAGGGUGACUUGAUAUUUUUAAAAUAGAAAACUGAUGCGUUCUGAGGGAAUAGGCGGAAGAGAGGAGGACUUCAGUAGCUGGAAAAGUCCUAUGGGUCAUCCCAAGGACAACUUGUGACUGGGAAGGUUGUGCUGGAUAUGGCAGGGAGGAUUUGCUGAGAGCUGCUAUGGAGGCAGGAGUAGUGCUGCUUGUCCUUGGGUGCCAAAUCCACUGCUGGUUCUCUAAAUGCCAGAUCUCAAGGAUCCGUGCACCACAGCCACAUAUCUCUUUUGAUUUAUUAACUGUUUUUUCCCCUCUUUCUUUUAAAGCAAAUUCUACAUUAAGCUUUUCCAACCCGCAGCAUUAGAAACUAUCAGGCACUGAAUGCCAAGCAGGUGCCUUCCAUUUCCCUCACUGACAUCCUGCUGUCCUCUAUCACUCAGUAAAAAUAAACCUAAGACAAAAAAAAUAUCUUGUCUUAUUGGUGAGGUAACUGAAUGAGAUUACAGAUCCAGUUUUUUAAUUGCUAAGAUGCAGAGCCCUCACAGAAAAUGCUCAGCAUCCUGUCCCUUCUCAUUUUGAUGAUUGCCAAAGCCUACAAGGCACUGGGAGUUUAGGAGCAUCUUCUGGAGCCUGUUCUGUGCUGGAGGCUGCCCAGCACACCCUGAAGUGACAGCAGGUUUUCAGAGAAAGAAAUUGUCAGCGAGCUGUCCAAUGUGUUGUUGAGCAGGAGCAUAUGUCACUGACAGAGUGUCUCCCAGGGAUCACCAAUAAAUGAACACCUUGAGUCUCCACAAAAGGCCUCUCCACCUGGUGCCUGUUGGGAAGAGCACAGCUCUGUUUUCCUUGUUGUGCAAUUAAAUUAAUGAAUAGUAUAAGCUAUUCUACUUUUUCAAAGCCAUCACCCUGGGGAUAACAUAAUAGUUUGAAAGGAAUAUUUCCUUGCCAUUUCUAUAUCCAUGUUUAAAGUAUUAUGCUAAUAUUGGCAGGUGAUCACUGUAGGGUAAGUCUCUGUGAUGGUAAUCCUCUUUCCCUUCUCUGCUGUCAUUGCCAUUUCAAAGCUUCCAGACUUUGCUGUGGGAAUUAUUCCAAUUGGAGACAGGGACUAGAAAUUAAUGAAAUAAAUGCUAUUGUUCUGAGACUUCUGAAAAACAUGUUUGCACUGGUGCUGAUGGUUUCAAACACACGUCUGGAUAUGCUUUGCUGACUCCUGCAGGUGGACGGAGAGAGAGGGAGAAGGUGGCUUUGGUUUUAUAUAUCUAUUAUCACCUAAUUUUGAUUUUGUUGUUCUGAAAUACUUGGGGGUUCAUAUAUUUUGAGAAGCUCAGCAAAGGUACGCUUUGUGCAGAUGCACUUCAAACAUCAGCAGAUGAGCGCCAGGAAAUAAUGUUGGACAGGGGCACUGUUACAGUCAUCCUUUCUACCACUUCCUCUCAAACUGAUAUAAACAGAUGCAUGCUUUUAUGUCCUUUCCCUUGGGAAAGGGAGAACUCUGAGCACAAAUGAUCAAUAUGUGGCUUUUCCGUGGUUACUUGGGAAACUUCAUCCCUGAUGAAGUUUUCUCGCAUCCUAUGACAGAAUCCAGCUUUUUUUUUCAUCUACUGUAAGUUAUAGAAUCUAGACAAUAGGAACAAAUCUGGAUGAGCUGGUUUAUGCAAUAAUAAAAACAGGUAUGUGUUUGUGAAAACUAAGGAGUUUUGAAAAGGGAAAUUGUCACUGCUUUUAAAACAGUGAUUAUUUUUAGAUUUUCUAUGUACUGUAGACUUCUAUAUUAAUUUAUUGAUCCUUCCAAACAUUUUUCAUGUCUUAUUUUUUCCUUCAGCAUUUUUAGCAGAUUUAUGAAAGCUGGAUUUGAUGAUUUCUCUUCACCUCAGAAGGCCUUAAGUGAGGCAGUCCUGCGUGAGCAUGAGGUGCAGUGGCUGUUCUGUGGUGAUCAGUGCCAAGACACACUGGUGUGCAAUUCCUAGAUUGUAUUUCUGGUUGUACUGCAGCUCUGGACAAAUCACACCUGGGAGGUUUUGGAGGGCACAUGUCUAGUGUUUAUUUCCCACUGACAUGAGUGGUUAACAGCCAGUUGUAUUUUUCUGAAUCCCUCCCAUACAGUCUUUCAGUUUCCAUCUUCUCAGUUAUCCCAAAUAAAAGAUUAAGGCUUUGGGGUUAUCUUCUCUGCAAAAAUAUACUUACAGAGGUCCCUCCAAGAGCAGCAGCAACUCGUUCCUACAGCCAGAGCUGCUGGGCACCAGGUAAGCAUCCUCCCAAACUGGAUAUGAAAGGGGUUCCUGGCACAGCUACCUUUUAGGCACUAAUGGCUGGGUGAGGCUUGGCACACCACACUGCCAGAUUUGCAGCUUCGGCAAAUAAAUUGUGGGGCAGGUUGUUCAGAGGGCUGGAGGAGGUGGGAGGUCUGUGGGGUUGUGUUUGUAGGAUGGGAUGUCAGUUCUGUGUGUCUGGGAGCUGUGCUGGGAGAUGCUCCUGGACUUUCCCCCAGCUUUGAGUGGGGUCAGGACUUGUGAGACCAAACGUGGGGGUUGUUGGAGGUGAGAGCUGCUGUUUUCUAAUGGUACUGAGAGUGAUUUUAACAACGCCAGGUGAGGACAAACACUAUGAUAGGUACAAAAUAAUCGCCCUAGCCAAAAGGCACAAUAGCUCUGUGGUGCACACAAUGGAGAGGAAUUGAGAGUUCUUGGAUCAGUUUUUGACUUUGCCACAGACCUCCAGUGUUACUUUCAGGCAGUCACUAAAUCCCUGCGUCCACCAUCUGCGAAGCAGCCAGGCUUGGAACAGUUUGUGUCUCUGGAAGCAUGUAUCUAAUUCAGCUGUUAUUAUCAAAGCUAAAUAUUAAAGAACUGUUGUGUUAUCAUGGGCUAAAACCAUGACACACCAUUUUCACUGUGAACUUUGUUCUUUUGCUAUUACGUUUUGUUUACAUUACUUUUUUCAGGAAAAACAAUGUUUUCACUGCAUAUAAGUUAGGCAGAAAUUCAUGAUGCAUGCUGUGCAAGCUAGACUUGUAGAUUUGAUGUCUGACACUUAAAAUAAAGAUGCAUGUUAAAUGCCACUAGGAAGACUUCAGGGCUGGUUGUUCAAUAAAAUGAAGCACGAGUCUGGGCAUUGAAAGUAAACAAAUAAUAUAAGACUAUGUAGAGAUCAACCUUCCAAAGCUGUUUGGAAAGUUCCAUAACUUGGGUCUAACUGUGGGCACUUCUCAUCCCCUUGGUGACAGGCAUGCUGCUCUGAAUUUGUUGUUCAAACUUCCAUUAAUAUUCUGUGUCAGACAAGGAAAUAACUUAGGAUCAAUUGUCAAACAUGUUUCUUCAGAAAGGAACUAAAGAGCAAUCCUGAAAAAUAUCUCCUGGGAUGGAAAAAUUCUGAUCUUUGAGAAAACAGAGGAACUGCUGUGUGAGAGGAAAAAUGUCAAUUUAUUUGGAGGACAGGUGAGUUUGUUUACUAAACUAUGCAAUCUUCAAGUCUGUCUUUGAAAAUGCACGGUCAGUUUAAGAGGAGGUGCUUUCAGCUUUAGAAAGCACUGGUAAACGUCAAAAUUAUUUACAUUUUUCACAUAAUGGACCAUGGAAGCUUCCUGUGACAAUUGUCAAUUUGUCCAUGUUGGGGAGAGGAUGAAUGGGGAACUUUUGAGAAGUUCAGUUUGGCCUUAAUUGUGUUUUUCAGUAUUCAUUGAUACUGUGCAAGGUGGUAAUUACCAAGUUGAAAUCUGGAGUAGUGCAACUCCCCAGCAGACAUCUGCAGCACUGUCCCAUACCCCCAGAUGGGAUUUGGGUGUUCAAAACCAGCAGUGCCCCCAGCCCCACCAGGCAGAGUCUUUGUUCUAGCUGGUGAGAAGUUUUACAGCAUAAAGGGCAGCUUCUGAGGGAUGGAACCCUGAAAGCCACAUCUUUUCUCUCCCUUCCAGCUCUAAGCAGAGUGUAAUAAUAAUUCACAGGUUUUUACAGAAUUUCAAAUAUUUCACCUGUGUUGUUUCUACAUUGCCACAUGCACUGAUGUGUCAUCCCUGAAACAUUUCUGCUGCCCUGUUAAGUAUCCUGUUUCAACUAUCUCAAAUCACGUUAGUUUUUUUUGUUUUUUGUUUUUUGUUUUUUUUUUUUUACCACUGAGUAUUUAAAAUGAUCCACAGACUAUGUCAGAUUGGUUGAGAACAACUCCAAAACAAUGUUUUGAGCAAUUUUUGCUCCAAGAUCUAUAGGACAGGCCACUUUCCAUAAGCUCCCAAAAGCAUGCCUGGAGCCUCCAAAUCAGAGAAGUAUUCAGUUGGAAAACCUUUCCCCUUUAGUGGAGAAAAAAAAUCACCCAUAUUCUUUGGAUGGCUCUUUGUAAAUGCAGCGACUGUCACAAACCUCAAAACCAGAGACCUCCUCCACCUUCUGAAACAGCUGCAUCUCUGCUUGUGCUCUUUCAUGGUUUGGUACAGCUGUCACAAAGCAGAGCCUUGCUCUGAGGCACCUCCGUGUCCCUCCCCUCUUCUGGGACAGAUGAGGCUGGUGAUGUCUCACCUACCCUGAAUUAGUUGUGUUCUUUACUGCAGUAGCAUCUUCAACAAUAUCUGCUGUGUUCCUGCUGCUGGCAGACAUUGUAUUUUGUGUUAUUUGGGUUAAAUCAGCAUAUCUGGCUAUGGUUUGUAUCAUUCUGUGUAAACUUGAGUCUUUGAAAUCUAAAAUGCUUGGGAUGUUUUUGUUGUUGUGGGUUUUUUUUUUUUUUCCGUGAAAUUGUCACAAAGAAAAUACUGUUAAAAAGGAGGCAUAAUUUAAAUUUAAGGCUUCAGCUGAGGUGUGUUGCACUGCAGGUUUUCAUGUUGAGUUGCACAGCUGUAGACUUGCAGCCACACAGAGCCCUGCAACAAGUUAGACAAGGGGCACUGAGGCCUCUCCUGCAGGAAUCCCAUUCUAGGAGGAGCUUGACUUGUGCAGGAACCUCCCAGAGGAGUAGCAAAGUCACUGCUUGCUUGUAAGGGCCUGCUAACUUUAUAUGGUAGUAGUGUAAUAGGCUUUGGAAAUACAGAUUAUAAUGGGUCACGUGCCAGUAGAUCCUUUCUCCCUGUUUUCCCUUAUCCAUGUGCUGGACCUUAAAUACCACAUGACACUUAAUCCACACUAUCAGGCAGAAGGCUUCAUUUUAAUUUACUCAUUUGAAGAUCAAACUAUUUUUGUGCCUGAUAGCAUCUUUGACAGUGAAAGGUCACAGAAUAAUUUAAUUUAAAAGCUAAAGCAAAGCACUAAUAAUACAUGAUAUCUCACCAAACCCACAGUCACCUCCCCUGCAGCUGCUGGAUUUGCAAAAAAAAAAAAAAAAAAAAAAAAAAAAAAAAAAAAAAAGCCAUCAAAUAAUGGAUUAAGGAUUUCCAGCCUGAAAGCUUUAAGUAAUACACCAAUAUAUGAUUUUUAAUAGCAAUAUCAUAAUUUAGAAACCUAGCCAGCAAGCACUGGAAUAAUCUGUUUUUGUUGUUAUCGUUGCAGGCUGGCAGUACUUCUCUCCAGAUGUACCAUUUGGCACAUUAAGCAAUUCUUUUCUUAGAAGGGGAACCUAUGUUUUUGCCAUGUAAUGCAAAACACCAAUGGAAUCACUACAUAAGCAAAAUGCCAGUAAUGGUACAGUGGUCCAGCCACAAACAUUGGUAAAGGACAGAAAAGGGGCAAGGACAUUCUUCACAUCCCUCUGCCACUGUCCACUGACUCUUUAUGUGUAUCUCAGUUUCUUCCACCAACCUGCAGCUUCCUACGGGAUGAGCAGCUGCCUUCCUCCUAGUCUUGUGGCCAAGGGAGGAAGAGGAGACUGGCCAGGGAAAUCACACAUUUCCUUGGCAGGGCUGGUCUUUCACUGGGGAAAGGUUGUCAGCCUGGGGAGAGAGCUGUGACAUCCUGCCCUGCCUGACCCCAACUUGGGUUCUCUUCAAUGCUUCUGUUUCUUACAACAAAUGUCCUGUAAUUCAAGCUUUGUGUAAGUGGGGUCAUGCUACUCUGCUCAGUAGAGUUUCUUUCUCCUUAAUAUGACAGGUGUUUAGUUUUUUUCCUACCAUUCACCAGAAAUCUCACCUUUAUUCUUCCCAUGUUAAAUAAGUCAGUUCUGUCCCCCUGCCUAAGAGCAAUGGAAAAGCAACAGUGAAAAAAAAAAAAAAAAGAGUGAUUUCUCUCCAAGAUUCUAAUUAAAUGGGUUUGUGUUGCCUUUCCAGUUUGAUUAACUCUGUAAUUAAUAAUGACCAGGUGAGACAGGGAAGUUAAUUUUCAUUGGGCUUUUUCUGUUCCAUGAAUGCUGGGGAGGAAUUCAAGGAAGGCACACAGUUGUGAGAACACCUUCCCUCUCCUGUUGGUACAAUUCCUAAAAUCUGGCCAUGUGUUAAACUCCUGUGAAGAGCAAAAUUUCAUUAUUUCUCCUCUAGAGUAUUUCUGCAAAGAAGCUAAUCCUUGGUCCUGCUCAGCCACCCGGGGGAAAAUGAUAGUGUAAAUGCUGUGCCCUGUUUUGGGUUUUGUAUUUUUUUUUUUUCUUUUUUGUUACUCUUUGAAGCAAACAACGCAGGGCAAAACAUGGUUUUGAAGGUGGAAAGAGGCACUGCAGCAGUUCUGUGAGCUCAGCCAUGUGGGUCCAGCAUUGAGGGGGAAAGGGAUGCACAUUCAAGGUAAACUACUUUUUAAAAAGGUACUAGCUAAAUGUUUCAAUGUGUAUUUAGUCUUUUCCCACUCCUAUUUGUGUUACAGGAAGUGAUCCUCUGCUACCUGUGGGGUACCUGGGGUAGGGGGUUUGAGGUAGACUAUGAGAUUACCCAUGGGGCUGUUUCUUCUUUAAGGCAAAUAUGUUAAAGUUUGAAUUGGUGUGUGAAUGUAACUUGCAGCACUGGCACUCACCAGUAUGUUACAAUUAGGAGUCCACAAAAAAUGUGGAUUAGGCAAUCAUCCUGUGUAAGACUUCUCCCCGUGGCACACCAGCUACUCUUCAUGUUUGCUGUAUUUUCAUAAUAACUGAACUUAACAUAUUCUCCAUUCCAAGGUUCAUUCAGUUUCUUAGUACUUUUCAGUCAGCGGUGGCUUUUCACACCUGGCUGUCAUCCAAAUUGCCUGUUGAAGGCAUUUUUGAGGAAACUUCACGUUUGAGUGUUAAUAAAGUGCUGCCUGCUAAAAUAAAGUCAGAUUGGUUUAAUGUUAAUGUAAAAGAGUAGGUAAAUAGUAAAUACAGAAAUAUCAAAACAAAUAUAGAUAAUUUUGAAAUAUCACCCCGUGCUUAAGGUAGGUUGGUGACAUUUCAUGACCUAUUUUAUUAUUUUUAACUUAAGAAUUAUGCACUGCCAUAUGCAUCUAUCGAGCUGCCCUUCUACUGCUGCUGUUCAUCUAUUAGAGGAUUCUUCUAUAGUUAUCCAAAAUCACAUUAUGUUCUUUUCUUUCAAAAUCUUCCUUGAACGUGCACCUCAAGACUGCCUACAAAUACAGUGUUGUCUACAGCUUGUUGCAGGUACUUUUACUUCUGUCUUUUGACUGUCUGUCUGAAUAUGUAUCUUCUCUCUUGACCUCUUUAUCUGGGAGUCCCCUGAGGCAAGAGCCUCAUACAGCAUCUGGAUCCUUGCCCACAAAUAAUGCUCCCUCUCUGUACAUCCAGCACCACAUGGUUUUUCCUAAGAAGAGCGACUCCUUUUCUUAAGAGAGGAGUUAGGCUGGUCUUUUAGGAGAUUAGUCUUUUAGCUUAGUUUUUGUCUUGGUAUGUUAUUAGAGCUUUGGCAGCAAACCAGUGCUCCCUUUACAUGAGUUUUCACCUAGAAAAGGGUGUCCAGCUCAUUGGUAGGACACACCUGCAGCCUCUCCCCUUUGCCUCACACCUGUGCACAUGUCUUUGUCCAAAAUUCUCCACGCUGUUGCACCAUGUGCAAAAUGUGGUUGUUGUGGCCUUGUUCUCCUGAGCUGUGGCAUUAUUCUGUUAAUUAAUCUGUUGUGGAGAUUGAGAGGAGAAUUAUUCUGGUGCUGAUUCCUGACCCACCGAGAUCCAGAGGAUACAUUUUCAUUUGAUUCACAUGAUCCACUGAUAAGUAUUAGAGUGGUAUGUUGUUCCUUUUCAGGAAACAAGAGGAAGACUGGGAGAAGUGGUUGGACUCAAGAAUCAUAAGGGUUUUUUUCCAAACUAAAUGGUUCUCUUUAGUGAAACCUCAAAAGGCUUUUCAUAUAUUAGCAAAGAAACUGGGUUCCAAUACCAAGACAACCUUUGCCACUUCUUUCAAGAUGUCUUGAAGCACAUAUAAAAUUCAACUUAAUCAGUUUUAAUAUGCUUUUUUACUACUAGGCUCCACUUUAAGUCAAAAGCAGCUCCUGGGUGAAGUUGGAUUUGGUGUAAAGAAUAACAUUAUGUAAUCACAUAGGAAAGUGCUGAUUAACCACCAAAAUAUAUUUAAAAUACUUUUCUGAGUAGAUUUGUUGCUAAUUAUACUAUAUCAAUUUAAGAGUGGAAGGUGUUUCUCCAUCAUCAUGUCUUGCAUGUCUAAUAUUUUGCACUGAGCUUUGGAGUGCAGCUGAAGUGCAGCUCUCCUUGUAAAUCUGUUUUUGAUCUAAUCCCAUUUUCUAGUUAAACAUUUCAAAUGAAAUAUACUGACCAAGAAAAAGAGGGCUACUUUGUUUGGGGUAUUCUAUAGGCAGAAGAUUGCCUGAGGACUUCCUUGUUGGCUGUACCUUAUCUUGCUGUGUAUCCAGUAAGAGAUCAAGUUGAAGUGUAGGUACCUCAAGCUCUGUUUAGUUUUCCUUUUCUUUUUCUUUUUUUCGUCUCCAAGUACAUGGAUUAGAGCUAUAAAGAUGUUGAUCUAAGUCACAAGAGUUUUGGAGACCGGAAAUGCUUGAUUUCAGUAGUUGAAUUUAAAGUUAUCUGAAGGUAAAUAUUUCUUAUCUAGAUGGUGUGUAAAUUGUGUAUUCAUCUGAUUUCCUUUCCUUACUGGUUAUCAUUUUCCUUUGGUGAGUGGUUCAUUUGGCUUCCUAAGCAGAACUAGACAAACUCCUAAAUCACUCCAAGCUUUCAGUGAACUGUGUCACCUUUCUUUUUUAUUUUCUUUAAUCAUUCUUUUCAUGCUUCCGGAAUGAGCUGAAGUAUUGUGAAAGAUUUCCUAUCAUCUUCUUUGUGCCUGUCUCAAACUUCAUACCUCAAUACUGGAUGUGUUUGAUAUUCAGCUACCAUCUCUCUAAUACUGCAUGCAUGGGAGGCUGGGAUUUCCAACGUGACUGCAAACAUUACCUUUCCAAUGAUAGUUGUGUUGGAUUAAAAGCUGCAAACACUGGAAUUGUCAAUACUGGAGUUAUGUGCCCUUACCAGUCUGGGGACCUGUAACCUGCUGCUGGAAAUUCUUAUUCAGGUUUCCCAAAGAUAAUACCUUGCUGGAAUUCUCUGAUAAAUGGCUAUUGUGUGUUGCUAAAUAGUUUGUGCAGAGCCCAAAGCUGACUAAAUUCCAAAGGUAGUCACAGUUUUCAAAAAGGAUGUGUGUGAUGGAUACUGUAAUUGUAUGAGCUUUUUUGCAAGUACCAUACGUGGAUAUUUGUUCUAAUACCACGUAAUUAUAGUAAUAAAUGCCAUUAAUAGAUUAGUUAAUUCAGUGCUUUCUACUCUGAGAAAGUCAUUA